rnacentral:lncRNA from 1 species
CAGCCGCACCAAGCUCUUGACACGGUCAUGCGUGUCCUUGACCACCGCCGUCAGCGCCUCCGCCAGGGCCGCCUCGCGAGUUGGGUCCGCCUGGCGCAGGUGCGGCGGCGUGUCCCAUAGCGCCUGCAUCAGCACGUCGCGCUGCGCCUUGCCGCGGUCAGGAGUGGUUGCUUGCUUGCCUGCCGCCGGACAAAUCGGGACAGAUGGUGAUGUAACUGUACUGGUUACCGGUAAAUUGGAUUCGAUGUCUCCAACAUGCAUACUUUGGCUGGCGGUACCGGCGCCCCAUCCUACACACAUACACACACAUACACACACAUACCCUGCUGGGACGCCACGUGUGCCGCCAUCUUGAUGUCCACGUCCACUCCAUGCACCUUGACCUGCGGGGUGCAUGCCGUGCCAAGCGGAGGAGGCCGACGGUAACAAUCAGGGGUUUCUGCGGGCGUGUCAAGUCCUACUGCUGUCGCUGCCCGAUACCCAGCACGGCAACCACAACGGGAAGUGGUGGAAUGCAUGUGCAAACGUUGUGAGGCCUUCCGUGCACCUUCCGUGCGUGUGCCACUCACGUUGACGCAGUGCUUGUAGUGCGUGCCGUGCUCCACCUCCACCACGUCGUGCAGCCCCUGUCCCCGCAGGUACGCCGCCACCACCCGCUGCAUCUCGCGCUGCAGCCGCUCCCCCGCCUCGCCGCUCCAGUCGGCAGCCUUGAGCGCCCGCUCCUGGAACUUAAUCACGAACACAGACAGGUCGACAUCAAAGGCCCCGCGCACGAGGGUGCGGCGCCCGAAGCUGCCGCCCUUGUGGAACCGGUCAACCUGUGGAAGGGAUGAAUGUAGGUGGGCCGCCGGAUCCGCAGGACUCAACAUGAGGCUCCGUUGGCCGGUGAGUUAUGGACCCGCCCGUAGCGGAUGAGAUUGUUGGCUCACGGAGCUGUGGUUCUGUGGGCGCCGGAGCCCAGGUGGCUGGGGCAGGCUAUCUAGCUACCGCGCGCGGCUACCGUACUUACGAUCCCGCUGAUCCCACACGAAUGCAAGCACCUUGAGGACUGGGCACUGCACCAGCAGCUUGUGAAUGAGGUGGUUGGCGGCCUGCGGCUCCGUAUUGGACACGCCCUGUGCCGUCAGCGGCCGCAGCUCCCCGUUGAAGUGGCGCACGUAGCUCUUGUCCCCACCAGGCGUGAGGUCCAGGUGCAUCUGCGCCGGUAGGUGCCAGUGUCGCCCGUUAGAGGGAUGGGGUAACGGGCGUGGGUUGAAACCCGAGACUGCGGUCGGGUGGCUGUGACUCCCUGUGCCCUCUCGUCUGCGAAAUGCAAGCAGCCUGAUAGAUGCAAUCUCGUACGUACCAUCUUGAGUGUGCGGUGUGGGUCGCCAGCGCUGAUCGGUGGGAAGACCUGCAACGCAAGUGACCAGCGCCCAAAGAUGUGACACCGGUGGGGAUGUGACAUCGGUUGCCCUGUGCACCCGUAAUACACCCGUAACAGUGCCCGCAUACUCUCAGCCUGCGUGAUGGCUCCACAACGCCGCCGCACUUCUCCAUCCUCCGCUCUCUAGCUCACCUGCCUGAGGCGUUGUGCCGCAGCUGAUGCCUUGGAAAGUCGGGCCUGUGCUUGAAGGGCCUGCGCAAGGGCCUGGGCCUGGGCCACGAAGCUGCUGUCGACUGGGUCAUAGAGGUCGAUGUCAGCGACGCCAUCGUCAUCGUAAUAAUCCCAUGGAUCGACAUCGUAGUCCUGUCAAAAUCAGGAUUCACUUUGCGAGCGUUGCAAGCAGGCGUUCGGCCGAGGCCUUCUCCGCACCUCGUCCUCGUAAAGCGCCCUCGCUAGCUUGAUAAAAUCAGAAUAGCUCAUGCUGCUUGAAUCUCCUUGCCUCGUGCGCUCGAAACGGUAGAUAGAGCUGUUGUUCAGUUGUCCACUUAAAAACAAAAAAGGUUUGUCCUUGCCAACCGAAGAUGUAUGAUAUAGCUAAACAGUAAUACAAGUCUGCUCAAUGAUGGACAUAUGAAUGAAGGACGCGUUUAGAAUAAUGUCAAUGAACGGCAGCGGUUGACACGCGUGCCCGAUCGGGGCAUUCCCAAUCAAUGGUUGCUGCUAAUUGCCCAGUUGAGCUCAGCUGCAAGAAGAUGGCACGGCUCAGACAGGCGAAACCUCGCGCGCUCGGCGCCACGACCAUUUUGCCAAUGGUGUUCCUAUGCCGCGCGGGACCGGGACCGGGACUCAGGCAGGAGUCAGGAAGGGGCGAGUGCUUUCGAAGCGAGGCUAGCGCUCCCCCACCAGUCCGCUCCCGUGGUGCCGUGACAGUAUAUACCUGCACGGUACACGGCAUCUCAUACAGCCCAGCCCAUCAUAUCAUAAGCAGACCGCUCGGUGCGGUGGCGUCCCAUGUGGUUUGCCCGCUGGCAUCCGAGUUCCGAAACUCUCGCCAUCGCCGCGCUUGGUCUACGCCUAUUACAGGCAGUCACCAAAUUACCGAAAAAGUAAGUCAGGGGGGGUACGAACAAUAGUUCCAGACCCCACCCUGCAAAACCCCCCGACCCCCCCUGACCGACGACCGACCGUGCCGUACCGUGCCGUACACCCCCGACACCCCCUCUGUUUUCUGCCUGGAUGGUGUCAAACGACUGCUUUCAGCGAGCUCUAUAAACAUGUAAAAACGGGAAGUUCGCAGGGCACGUCUUGACCACAGCCAUGUUGUCAACAUGUUGUGAACAUGUUGCGACCGCUCAGUUGCACCCGUGUAAAGCACGCCCACGAGAUGUGCCUACGCAUGGGACAUACACAUGCGUUCUCCUCCGGCGCGUAAGCACCGGUCCGUGACUUGUGGCGCGUCCUGGUCAGGCGAGACGUGUCGCACCCCAACAUCCCAACCCAACAUGUGUUGGCGGGCGGUAGCCCUUCGUCUUCUGGUAGGCUCUUGACGUUCCCCAGCCGUUAAAAGCUUCCAUAACAUGCUUUGGGCAACGGUCUGGGCUUGCCGGGCUGUCUUAUGAGGCCCAGACGAAUGUUUCCGGCACACCGUGACGAAACCUUGGGACCGACGACCGACCGAACUUUGGGGGCCCAUAUCUCCGCUGUCCCCUCUGUAACAUCCGCAUUCAUAUCUCCGCAAUGUACUACCCUGAACAAAAUCCUGAAAGCGGAUUCUGAGCGCCCUCGUCAGGGUGGGGCCCAGCGCUCGUAUCUUCGUUCGGAACGAAAUUUGCCCAAAAAGGGCUCUGGCGGACGAAAUGUUUUUGAUCUUGACUUUUCGGCCAAAACGCACGGGAUCUUGGGGGGUCUUUCGGCAAACAGACGAAGACAUUUUUGGGAUUUCGGCCACUUUUGGCCGAAGGACAAGCAGGGGUUCCAGCGGCUACUCCACGGCUGAAACCUGCGUGGCAUAUGGUAAGAAGACUCAGAGGGCCGUAUCUAUGGGUGUUGACGGCGGGAGAGUGAGGUUGGGUCGGCGGGAAGCAGGGGAAGAGGUGUCGUGUUGUGUCGGUCGACAUCUGAGAAUGUUCUGGGGCAUUGGGUUCACUGUUAUAUUCCCGCGCAUUUUUGCCGAGAUCGCCGAACCCGGCAGCCUGUUUCGUCAACCAAACGAAGCCAUGUUAAGGAAUUCGGCCACUGACGCGGCCCCUACCUUCGGAAGAUACGAGCGCUGGGUAUGCCUGCGGCAUUCUUUCCCCCCCCCCCUGAGUAAGUGGGCCAGAGCUGUACAGCCUCCCUACCUACCAUGUCCCUGUCAUGCUUUAAACCCAAACAACUUAGACGACUGUGCCGUCCAACUGUCCAACUCACCGUGAUGGGAAGGCGCGGCGUGCAUGUGCGUAGAGAGGGGGGGGGCGGGAGUUCUGUCACUGCUUCUAACCAUCGGACGCAGCACAGGCAGGCUGUGUGCGCAUAUGUGUGCUAGUGGCGCUAGUUGCAGCGCGCGGGACCGUGGCAGGCCGUGAUGGGAACGAAGGCGCGGCGAACACUGAGAAAAAUCAAACAAGCACAAACAAGCAUGUUGGACAAGAUGUGUGGUUCCUCUCGCACGGGAAAAGUGGGCUGCAGUGCUGCACCCAUGUCACGUCUCUAGUCUGAGGCCGCAAGCGUCUACCUCCUCUCCUGGACAUAGCCGGGGUCGGUUCGUACAGGCAGGGCCCGCCAUGCGUCCGCCCACGUCCCGCUGCCCAGCAAAAGCACAGCCAGCAAUCAAACAAACAGCAGAAAAUCCUCUACCCACAACGCUUUUCACUGCUGCAGCCUACCACAAACUGCACGAUGCUGUGCUCGCCAGCAAAGACCCUAACCAGACACCGACCAGCCUGAACCUGCGCGCCGGCGCCGCUUCUUGGGCGGCGCCGCGCUGUCCUCCUCCACGUGGCCUUGCUCGCCCCUCCGCUAUGCACGUGCACGCCGCAACUGCUGGGCCCAGGGCCACUGCCGCCAGGCCCUGUGCCGCUGCUCCUGCUGCUGCCGCUCCUGCUGCUGCUGCUGCUGCUGCUGCUGGUGGGGCCAGGCCCUCCAGUCAGGCACGCACGCACGCAGGCAGGCAUGGACAGGGGCGAUCCUAUGGGGCUUCAUCAACACAUUACGCAGCCACAUUGUGAAAGGCGAAACCCCCCAUGCGUGUCCGUACCGCAGUGCGCCUCCACCCUCAAGACUCAGUCCCCACUCGUCAUGGUGCUGCCCUCACGCCGCAGUCGGCAUUUACUUGACCGCAGUAAUUGCAGGUGCCGCCGCUAUGUUUACUAAGAAUCUGUCAUACCUUCUUCAACACGCAAGGCGACCUUCUGUCCGCCGCAUGGCAAUGAGGAUCACGGCGCCAGCUGCACCCGUAUGGCGGCUGCCAGCGAGCUGCUGGCCACCAGCUCCAGCAUGUUGCAGUCCCGCACCACCCGCCGCAGCGCGCGGGCCGCAGCCGCCAGCGCCGACCAGUCCACAGCGCGGUCGGGCUGGGGGCACUGCGCGCGCCGGCAACAGGUGUAGAGGCAGGAUGGAGGCAGGUCAGAAUAUAUAUACUCAGGAAAGGGCGGGAGGAGCAGGGUGGGGAAGGGGCACAGCGCACGUUGGUACAAGGCAGCCAAAGGCAGGGCUUGCAAUGCAACCUGCAGGGCCUGCUGCCGUACUUGCACACGCUGCGAAUGCAUCACGCGCUCUCACCGCCGCCAGGUUGCAGGUGGGGUCGAUGGGGUGCAGCACCACAACGGGGUCAUUCCGCCACACGUGCCUGCAGCUCUCCGCCUGCGCCCGGGUGUAGCCCCACACCGGCCCCGCCUCCAGCAGCACCACCUCCCGGCGGGUCACAGCCGCGUCCAGCAACUCCAGGGCCGCCAGGAAAACGGCCACCUCGGCUCCGGACCUGUAAGCGAACAGGUCGGCAGCUCAGUCGCCCAGAUGUGCAGCGGUAAACAGAAACCCAUUCUGUAGCCUACGCAUUUGCUUGUGGCACGCACACUCACUCUUGCUUGCCGGGGCUGAGCAGGCCCUUGCGCUGCGCCGCCGCCAGCACCACUGUCUCGAGCAGCACACUGGGCACGUAGGGGAUGUACCGCUGCAGGGAGUUCUUGUACCAGCACUGCAGGUGGGUGGAUUGGGAGCGAGUUGACAGGAAGUCACAGGUAUGGGCAGGUGGUGUUGCCUGCUUGCGUGUGGCCUGCCGAGGGGGCGCGGUUUGUGCCCGAUCUUCAACACACAGUUGUUUGUACAGCUCGUGGCAGUGGUGAUCAGCACGCGCUCUAACCUUGACCAACCGCGCCACAAACUUGAUACGAUCCGAAAUCUCCUUGACCACCGCCGUCAGCGCCUCCGCCAGCGCCGCCUCCCGCGCCGGGUCCGCCUGGCGCAGGUGCGGCGGCGUGUCCCACAGCGCCUGCAUCAGCACGUCGCGCUGCGCCUUGCCGUUGUCGCGCCCACCGUUGCCUCCUGCGGUGCUCGGGCACAGCGGACGCGGGUAACAUCACCACAUCACAAGAAGGUCACUUAGCGUCGUCGGCAGCAGAGCAAGCAAGACGGAUCUCUACCACAUCAUGCUUUCCUACCCAGAGGGACGAUGGCCGUCAUCUUGAUGUCCAUGUCCACACCGUGCACCUUGAGCUGCGUGUGUUGGUUGGGUGCUUGACCGUCAGGUGGGCCGGCUGGUAAAAACACAAUCGUGAGCGCGGCAGCCCAGGCACAUGCGACCAUUGGCCAGAAACCACUGAGCCAAAAGCGCGGCAAUCGUUUCCCCCUCCUGUGCGGUCUCAUACGCGGAAGCUGGCAAUUACAUGCACGCUCUACCGCUCGUCCAGCAAGCAGCCAG